UUCGUAGGCGGUGCGGCAAGUCGGGAGUGAAAUCCCUGGGCUUAACCCAGGGGCUGCUUCCGAAACUGCUGUGCUGGAGUGUGGGAGAGGCGCGUGGAAUUGCAGGUGUAGCGGUGAAAUGCGUAGAUAUCUGCAGGAACACCCGUGGCGAAAGCGGCGCGCUGGACCACAACUGACGCUGAGGAACGAAAGCUAGGGGAGCAAACAGGAUUAGAUACCCUGGUAGUCCUAGCCCUAAACGAUCAGGACUUGGGGUGCCGCCCGUUCGGGCGUCGUCCCGGAGCUAACGCGUUAAGUCCUGCACCUGGGGAGUACGGUCGCAAGACUGAA
rnacentral:rRNA from 1 species